rnacentral:rRNA from 1 species
CCUACGGGAGGCAGCAGUGAGGAAUAUUGGUCAAUGGGCGCGAGCCUGAACCAGCCAAGUAGCGUGAAGGAUGAAGGCCCUACGGGUUGUAAACUUCUUUUAUAAAGGAAUAAAGUGAGGCACGUGUGCCGUUUUGGAUGUAAGUUAUGAAUAAGAAUCGGCUAACGCCGUGCCAGCAGCCGCGGUAAUACGGAGGAUGCGAGCGUUAUCCGGAUUUAGUGGGUUGAAAGGGAGCGUAGAUGGGUUGUUAAGUCAGUUGUGAAAGUUUGCGGCUCAACCGUAAAAUUGCAAUUGAUACUGGCAGUCUUGAGUACAGUUGAGGUAGGCGUAAUUCGUGGUGUAGCGG